UACGUAGGGGGCCAGCGUUGUCCGGAAUCAUUGGGCGUAAAGCGCGCGUAGGCGGUCAGGUAAGUCCGGUGUGAAAGUCAAAGGCUCAACCUUUGAAUGCCGCUGGAAACUGCCUGACUUGAGUCCGGUAGGGGCGAGUGGAAUUCCUAGUGUAGAGGUGAAAUUCGUAGAUAUUAGGAAGAACACCAGUGGCGAAGGCGGCUCACUGGCCCGGUACUGACGCUGAGGCGCGAAAGCGUGGGGAGCAAACAGG
rnacentral:rRNA from 1 species